GACGAACGCUGGCGGCGCGCCUAACACAUGCAAGUCGAACGAGCGAGAGAGAGCUUGCUUUCUUGAGCGAGUGGCGAACGGGUGAGUAACGCGUGAGGAACCUGCCUCAAAGAGGGGGACAACAGUUGGAAACGACUGCUAAUACCGCAUAAGCCCACGGUGCCGCAUGGCACAGAGGGAAAAGGAGCAAUCCGCUUUGAGAUGGCCUCGCGUCCGAUUAGCUAGUUGGUGAGGUAACGGCCCACCAAGGCGACGAUCGGUAGCCGGACUGAGAGGUUGAACGGCCACAUUGGGACUGAGACACGGCCCAGACUCCUACGGGAGGCAGCAGUGGGGAAUAUUGCACAAUGGGGGAAACCCUGACGCAGCGACGCCGCGUGGAGGAAGAAGGUCUUAGGAUUGUAAACUCCUGUUGUUGGGGAAGAUAAUGACGGUACCCAACAAGGAAGUGACGGCUAACUACGUG
rnacentral:rRNA from 1 species